GAAACCGACUUGACUGCAGUGGCUAAAGCAUUUAGGACUAAGGUAAUCCUUAGGCGGAUCGGUGCUGUGAGGGACUUGGAGAUGGCCACACUACUACUCCUGUUUUCUUUUAUUUGGCGUUUAUUUGCUAUUAGAUUUCAGUUUGGGUUUUGAAUUAUGUAAUAAGGCCUCUCUAAAUUUUCCAGCUUUUAAUUUGGGUUUUUUUUUUGUUUAUUAUGAUUUAUAUCUAAUAAAAGUAGAACGUAGUUUUCAAAAA